rnacentral:rRNA from 1 species
CGGUGGAUGAUGUGGUUUAAUUCGAUGCAACGCGAAAACCUUACCCACCUUUGACAUGUACGGAACCCUUUAGAGAUAGAGGGGUGCUCGAAAGAGAGCCGUAACACAGGUGCUGCAUGGCUGUCGUCAGCUCGUGUCGUGAGAUGUUGGGUUAAGUCCCGCAACGAGCGCAACCCUUGUCAUUAGUUGCUACAUUCAGUUGGGCACUCUAAUGAGACUGCCGGUGACAAGCCGGAGGAAGGUGGGGAUGACGUCAAGUCCUCAUGGCCCUUAUAGGUGGGGCUACACACGUCAUACAAUGGCUGGUACAAAGGGUUGCCAACCCGCGAGGGGGAGCCAAUCCCAUAAAGCCAGUCGUAGUCCGGAUCGUAGUCUGCAACUCGACUACGUGAAGUCGGAAUCGCUAGUAAUCGUGGAUCAGAAUGUCACGGUGAAUACGUUCCCGGGUCUU